rnacentral:Y_RNA from 1 species
GGCUGGUCCGAUGGCAGUGGGUUAUCAGAACUUAUUAAACUUGGUAUACAACCUCCCCCCAACCCCCCGCUAAAUUUGACUGGCUUUUA